CCUACGGGAGGCAGCAGUGGGGGAUAUUGCACAAUGGGGGGAACCCUGAAGCAGCGAAGCCGCGUGGGGGAAGAAGGGCCUCGGCGCGGAAAGCCCUGUCAGCAGGGAAGAAAAGGAGGGUACCUGAAGAAGAAGCCCCGGCUAACUACGUGCCAGCAGCCGCGGUAAUACGUAGGGGGCACGCGUUAUCCGGAUUUACUGGGUGAAAAGGGGGGCAGACGGCGAUGCAAGCCAGGGGUGAAAGGCCGGGGCCCAACCCCGGGACUGCUCUUGGAACUGCGUGGCUGGAGUGCAGGAGGGGCAGGCGGAAUGCCUGGUGUAGCGGUGAAAUGCGUAGAUAUCAGGAGGAACACCGGUGGCGAAGGCGGCCUGCUGGACUGCAACUGACGUUGAGGCCCGAAAGCGUGGGGAGCAAACAGGAUUAGAUACCCGGGUAGUC
rnacentral:rRNA from 1 species